AUGGGAUCUGCAAUCAAUCAAAUACCUUAUUAGCCCACUAACAUGUCUCGAUGACGCUAUACGGUGUUCCCGUGUAGUGCCACACCGACCCGCGCACAAUUGCGGUCAGGGCGGUUCGCGGGUAGCCUACCGUCUCGUUGGAGGCGGCGUGCUCGCCAGAACGCCUCUCUGUGACUUGGUCGCGGAGACAAUCCGAGUUCACCCAGUCCGAGAGUACUCUCGGACUGGGUGAAACGCGACCGAGAACGUCUCACCGUCCGGGCGAUGCAGAUGAUCUCGGAACAGGCUGUUUCGGCCGCUACCUGCACGUCGCCUGGAGGCGCACACGCUCGCGUGCUGCCCCGCUUUCGCAGAGCAGCGCCGUUGAAAGAAUAGCACCGGAAUUGUCGCUUCCGACCAUCGUGGCUAUGAUGCCCGGCAGCAGCGAGUCCUGGCAAGCGACGCUCAACUUCUGCGAGUCCACCGUCUCGCAGAAAGAGGGUGCGGAAAAGCAGAGGGAGAGCUCUUCUUCCUUCUUGGUGUCGUACAAAUUACUUUGAAAGAGCAACCCGCAGCUGUAUCACGUAUUUCGCAGACAAUUAGCAGAAGACAAAUAUUGUGCAAAUAUUGCUGUCAACUGUCCAUUUCGUAUUACGGACUUACAACAAAAAAGCAGAUCGCGGACCAUCACUAGUGCUGCCUCUGCAGAGCGAUUUGUGAAACUUUAGUGCAUUCUUUUCCAUACAACUAACAACAACUGGCCUAAAGUCGGUAUUACGGAUGCUUUUGUCUGCCACACAACAGCAGAUAUUUAGCAAUUUCGUUUGUCAAAUUUGCGACACCUUUUGUAUCUGGUGCUGAAUUGUUGCUAACUAUCUGCAAGUGUAAAAUUUGUGAAAUUAAAUUAUUUUAACUUGAUUUAGGUAAGUGUAAUUGGUUUAGAUCUUUAUUUGUGUUUGUAUUUUCCAUAGUAUUAACAUUAAAUACCACGCUGGGCAAUUUAAGUACAUUAAUAAUGUUGAGGUUAUAAAGUUUAUUUUUUACAAAUUAAUAUUUCUUCUAGGUAUGUACUAUGGACAGAGCUCAAAUAAUAAAUGGGGCUUUGGAGUCUAAGGAACUUAGGUCGGAUACAUACGAAUCAGUGCGUUUGCGACGCUGUCUUCGUGAUCAAGCCUGACCCCUUAAUCUAUCGGAAAGUUUGUUCAGAACACAUUACAGAAUUUCGAAACAUCAAUAUUUACAAUUGUGCUCUGAAUUAAAGCCGUUAAUAACCUAGAUCAUCAAGACGAACAAGAAUAGAAAGUAAAAUGCAAGGUGUUAACAGCAUUGCAAAAUUUCAUACCAGAAACCUGUGGGAAUGAGCUUUUUGCAUUUUGAGUUAAACUGUAGUAAAUCCAAUGCCAUUAGGGAAGUGGCUAUGGCAUUAAACAAUCUUCCAGUUUUAUUGAAACAUUUAAAGUUUCUGCAAACAGUACAAUGGGUCACAAGUUAUUAAAAAUGGGUUUUACAAUAAAUUUGGCUUUCCUGGGGUUUUGGGGUGUAUAGAUGGCACUCAUUUGCACUUAUCAGAUCUUCUGUAUAUGAAGAAAGGUUUUAGAACCGCAAGCAUUAUCAUUUCAAGAAUGUGCAAAUAGUAAGUAUUUUGCUGAAGCCUAUCAUUCACAAUAACAAACAUUUGAUAGUACUUAUUUAAAGAAUUACAUUUUUCAGAUCUGUGAUAGUGAUCUUAACAUUUUAAGUAUUGAUGCAACAUUUCAUGAUACAUUUCGGCUGUGAAAUAUCAAAACCCAGUAUCUGCAUAAAACUAAAUUUUACAGGAGAGCCGAAAAACAAUUUCAUAUCUUUGACAGCGUGCCGUUUCAAUAAUAUUAGUCGUACCUUCUUGAGAGUGAUUGCAAAAUUUGAGGUGCAUAACAGGCUUUAUAAAAAAGUAGAUUUCAUGCGUCUAUCACAAAAGAUGUGCGUAGAGGAGCAGUUACUAAUAAAAAGAUUGUUUUCUUAGAUCAAACUUUUUGAGUGUGACAAUUUCAAAACCUAGUAAGAUCACUUGCUUUGUUUUCAUCUAAUUCUAAAAUAUAAUGAGUGGGGAUAAACGCAAAUUAAUAGACUUAGUAAGAUCACUUGCUUUGUUUUCAUUUAGGUCUGAAUUUACUGAGUAGGAACUAAAUGCAAUUUUUUAAACAUAGUAAGAAAAAACAGAAUAAAACAACAUAAAUAUGGGCAGAAAUAAGCAGUUUUAAUGAAAAAGAAAAAAAAAACACAUAAUCGGAAACCAAA